ensembl:lncRNA
UCCAGUACCCGUACUACCAUACUAUUUAGUACUCCAGAAAAAUACUUAGUAGGUCCCAAUACAUAGUAUGGAAAAUGCAGCAGGCCAAAAAUACCAGGAUGGCACAGCAGAAGAUACAUGGGUGGCACUACAGGUGUACUAAUCAUUGACAUCACCUGUAGUGUGUCCCAAUUGUACUCAUACUUUGUGUAAACGGCUGCCGAGGACUCCCCAUUAAACCCAUCACAGGCCGUUCCGUUACAGAGACAUCACAAACUGAAUAGACUGUUCCUCUGCUGACAUGCUACACCCACGCCGUCUCCUGGCACGAUGUCACCUGACCCACACCAGGGAGAAACCAGAAGCCGGUCAGGAUAGAGGAGUCGAGGGGCCAGUGUGGCUACAGACGUGUUCUGUUCCUGCUCGGGGGAGCCUGCUCUGAUGAAUGGUACACACAGCGAGGAGGGCCACGAUGCGUCAGGACCACCCACUCAACCAUCGCUCCAAUUGUCCGCUCCCACAGAGCCAUUGCGUGUUCUUAGCAUGUCACCGUUCAAAGGGUGAUGCAUCUAAAGCUAGACUGUACACGAUGGGGAUGGCGACACUCUGGGAGUCCCCGUUCCUAACCUCUAUUGGUCCGUGACCAUCAUGAGGUCCAACCCUUGAAUCCCCAAUGCAAAACACACACUCUCCCCCGAGUACAUCCUUCUACCCCGACCAGCCGCUCAGCCACCCAGUGAACGUCCGGACCCCCCCCCAUUGGUUGAUGAGGGCAGAGGCAAAGUUCACCUAAGUCCUGGUCAAAAUUGUAGUGGCAGAACUGGGCCGUAUCCAUGACAACCACGGUCUGACUAGAGGGACCCCUUUGAACAGGACUUCUGGAUUCAAAGAUUCGCUGGAUUCGCACACAUACAAGACAACAAGGAAACAGAUCCACAUCUUACCGAGGAUGACGAUCUUGGCGAAGGCCCCGAAGCCCUGAUGGUCGGUGCGGUCGGCGAUCUGCCCCCCUCCCUCUGGGUCGGAGAGGUAGACGAAGAAGGCCUCCUGGCCCUCGGGCUCCGAGUCGUCCAGGAUGAGCAGCAGCACCGCCGCCUCGCUCUGCCCGGCCUGCAGGCUCACCACACUGGAGGCCAGCCGGAAGUCCUGCCCCUCCCGGGCCAGGGUGCCGUUGUAGUCCAGAGCGAAGGGGAGGGCCGUACCCACCGUGACUCCGCCUACGGAGAGACCGCCGGCGGUCAGAGGGUACGGGAGGAGGCCGAUCGGGGAGCGGCCCGGGGAUAUUUCUACUGCUCAACGGCCACACCCUGUACUGUUGGCCGUAGGACUACCCUUCACCUGCUGCUCUUCUCUUUAGACAAUACUGCUACCAUAAUUAUUGACAAUCUUUAUUCACAAUCGCAAUGGGUUCACAAACUCAACACAACAACAACAACAACAACAACAACAGCCCACCUCCGUAGGCUUGGACCCGGACGCUGGCGGCGGCGUCCAGGCCGGCCCCGCCCGGCCCGGCGUCCCUGCGGACCCUCAGCUCCACCCUCUUCUCCUCAACGCCGUCCUGCUCCCGGUCCUCCUCCGUGUGGACCAGGGCGGGCCCGAUGCUCAGCACCCCUCCACCUCCUCCAUCUCCUCCACCUCCUCCGUCUCCUCCAUCUCCUCC